rnacentral:lncRNA from 1 species
GGCGAUGCCGCAGCGGCCGCCGCCGCCCCCGUCGCCGUCGACGAGGCCUCCGACGCCGAGGUCGAGGAGUUCUACGCCAUCCUCCGACGCAUACGCGACGCCUCCCGCCGGCUGUGCGGCGCCGGCGCCCGGCCUGCUGCCCCGCGCGCGCCGGCGUGGCGGCCCAGCUUCUCCUGGGAGGACUUCGCCGCCCCGCCGGCCCCUCCCGUGCCCGCGCAGGCGCCGCGGCCCGACGAGCCCGUCCUCGUCCCCGUCCCCGCCGCCGCUGCUGCUGCUGCCCCGUCGCCGCGUGCCGGCCUCGACCUGAACGCGGAGCC